GACAGAGGUGCCGAGCGUUAGGCGGAAUCACUGGGCUUAAAGCGUGUGUAGGCGGGUCGUUAAGUGCCUUGUGAAAUCCCACAGCUCACCUGUGGAACUGGCUUGGCAUACUGGCGAUCUUGAGCCACUUAGGGGCAACCGGAACAAACGGUGGAGCGGUGAAAUGCGUAGAUAUCGAGAGGAACACCUGCGGCGAAGGCGGGUUGCUGGGCUGACACUGACGCUGAAGUGCGAAAGCUAGGGGAGCGAACGGG
rnacentral:rRNA from 1 species